rnacentral:lncRNA from 1 species
UCAAAUAUUUAGGGACAGAGUGAAUAUCUCUAAGCAUUUUAAAAGAUAACGUCUUUAAUGGUCUAGCUCUUAGCAAAUAGCUUAUAAUACAAUUCAUUCUCACUCGAUAUUAAAAAUAUGUACAAGAGAUUAAAAGAUAACUUUUAUCUCUAUUGUAUUAAAAAAUGGUAUAGUAUAUCUUACGUUUACUCAUGGGAGGUGGCCUUAUCAACACAACUCACAUGCGUGAAAUCUUUUUUCUUGGGGCGCCGGCGCCGCAGCUUUUCGCCACUUUACCCGACACGGUGACAGCCGCGCCGCGCGUUACCACAAGUCCACAACUCGGUCCCUGCACCACCGGCAGGCAAGCAGAAGGUCGGUCGUGGGAUCGAUGCCGGUGAUCCCCC